GCGGAGGUUGUGCAUGGUGCACGGCUGCUCCGAGUACCGAUGGAACUUGUUGUGCUCUUGCAAGCAGUUCAUGGGGUUCGAUUCCCCGCUUCCGCA